AGUGGAAUUGCUGGGUCAGAUUAUAAUUCUAUUUUUGACAAUUGGAGGGAUCACCAAGCUGUUUCCCAAAGGAGUUGAACCAUAUUACAUUUCCUCUAGCAAU
rnacentral:pre_miRNA from 1 species